AAUGUACAAUUAGGGUUGAGAUAUUGGAACCUCAAGACUUCGAGAUUUAUAGAAAUGGUUUUCCUUCUUCCCUAAGAAUAAGAAUCCUUUUGAUAAAAGGUAGAAAAUCUUCGUUCCAAACGAUAGUACGGCUUCAGGAUAAAACCCUAAUCUGUCUAUUAACUACUUUAGUACGUUCACAACAUGAAUUUACUCUUGGCUAACUUCGAUUCUUUGUAAAACCGAAAUUGAAAUCACGAUCAAGGUGCGUAAUCAAACAAAUCAAUCAAUGAAUUUAAAGACAGGACACUACAUAAACCCUCGGUUUCUUUUCUUCGAUUUUGGAAAGCGUCGAGUAAUCUUUCAAAUUGAAUUUACCCUAUUUCUUUGAAUGCACCAUUUGCUCACCUGAUUCAUAUGCAAAGCCAUUGCUUCGAGCAGACUAGCAGUCAAUUUUCAUUGGCGGCUCUUCGACUUUGGCCAUCAAUUUUAGAGUCCAUAUCUUCUUCUUCCAUUGAAGGCGAUUAGUUUUUCAGGAGCAAAUCCAUAAAUGUGUUAACAUAAUGUGAUCUGAUCCUGGAUAUCUCAGCGUGAAGCAUUGGAUCCCAUAAUAAGAACUCCAAAAUGCACGAGAAUGCAUUUUCUUUCCCGAGAAGCUCCUUCAAGUGGGCCUCAGUCGUGCUACUAUAAUUUGAGAGGCCAUAUAUUUGUUCAGUAGAUGGUUGUCAAUCCAGUUAUAGAAGAGAGGAUCAUUUGACAUGCCACCUUCUCCAGCACCAAGGAACAACAUUCAAGUGUUCAAUUGAGCCUUGUAGCCGUGAAUUUGCAUACCUAUCUAGCGUAAAUAGACACUUGAAAGAAUUCCAUGAUGAUAAUUCUCCUCUUGAAGUUGAAUGUCAGAAACAGUUCGUUUGUCCAAAGGAUGAAUGUGGAAAAGUGUUUAGAUAUGCAUCUCGACUGCAAAAGCAUGAAGAUUUCCAUGUUAAGCGGUCAAUAGAUAUCAUUGUACUGCACCGAGUUACGGAAGUGGGUUGCCUUCACAGCAUGCGAUUUCACGAUGGAUGAGGAAUGCUAAGGCUUUUUUGUGAGUAGUAUCCGAACCUCAAACCUCUUUUGGUUGUGGGCAUAGGCCUUUUAAAGCUUUGUUUGCUGAAACUCUACUAGAAAGAAGUGGCCCCCUUUGGUACAAAUCCAUGCUCAUUACAAAUGUUUGGUGGCUAACCAGUGUAUAGAAUGAUAGAAUCGGUAUGUAUAAUCAUACCCAACGGAGAAAAAAGAGAACAAUGAUAAACACUAAAAAGCGAUGUGUUAUCGUCUAAGUGUUUGCCAGUGUGUUUUGUCUUUUCCCCUCUUAUUCUCUCCAAAAGUAAUAUACUUCUUUGUCUUGUGGAUUUCAAAACUCGUGUAAAAGUGCCAUUUUAACAAAAUUUUAUUAAUUAUUAACCA